rnacentral:rRNA from 1 species
AUUUGGAGAGGAUGCUUUGGGCGCGGCGCCUUCCGAGUUCCUUGGAACAGGACGCCAGAGAGGGUGAGAGCCCCGUACGGUCGGACGCCUAGCCCGUGCAAAGCUCCUUCGACGAGUCGAGUAGUUUGGGAAUGCUGCUCAAAAUGGGAGGUAAAUUUCUUCUAAAGCUAAAUACCGGCCAGAGACCGAUAGCGCACAAGUAGAGUGAUCGAAAGAUGAAAAGCACUUUGAAAAGAGGGUUAAACAGCACGUGAAAUUGUUGAAAGGGAAGCGCCUGUGGCCAGACGUGCGCCCCGCGGACCACCCGUCGCUCUGCGGCGGGGCACGCCGCGGCGGCGCAGGCCAGCAUCGGCUCUCCCAGGGGGACAAAGGCCGCGGGAACGUAGCUCCUUCGGGAGUGUUAUAGCCCGCGGCGCCAUGCCUCUGGGGGGGCCGAGG